rnacentral:rRNA from 1 species
AGCGAACGCUGGCGGCAGGCCUAACACAUGCAAGUCGAACGAAGUCUUCGGACUUAGUGGCGGACGGGUGAGUAACACGUGGGAACGUGCCUUUAGGUUCGGAAUAACUCAGGGAAACUUGUGCUAAUACCGAAUGUGCCCUUCGGGGGAAAGAUUUAUCGCCUUUAGAGCGGCCCGCGUCUGAUUAGCUAGUUGGUGAGGUAAAGGCUCACCAAGGCUACGAUCAGUAGCUGGUCUGAGAGGAUGACCAGCCACAUUGGGACUGAGACACGGCCCAAACUGCUGCGGGAGGCAGCAGUGGGGAAUCUUGCGCAAUGGGCGAAAGCCUGACGCAGCCAUGCCGCGUGGAUGAUGAAGGUCUUAGGAUUGUAAAAUCCUUUCACCGGUGAAGAUAAUGACUGUAGCCGGAGAAGAAGCCCCGGCUAACUUCGUGCCAGCAGCCGCCGUAAGAC